AACGCGAAGAACCUUACCAAGGCUUGACAUACACCGGAAACUGGCAGAGAUGUCAGCCCCCUUGUGGUCGGUGUACAGGUGGUGCAUGGUUGUCGUCAGCUCGUGUCGUGAGAUGUUGGGUUAAGUCCCGCAACGAGCGCAACCCUUGUCCUGUGUUGCCAGCGGGUUAUGCCGGGGACUCACGGGAGACUGCCGGGGUCAACUCGGAGGAAGGUGGGGACGACGUCAAAUCAUCAUGCCCCUUAUGUCUUGGGCUGCACACGUGCUACAAUGGCCGGUACAAUGAGCUGCGAUGUCGUGAGGCGGAGCGAAUCUCAAAAAGCCGGUCUCAGUUCGGAUUGGGGUCUGCAACUCGACCCCAUGAAGUCGGAGUCGCUAGUAAUCGCAGAUCAGCAUGCUGCGGUGAAUACGUUCCCGGGCCUUGUACACACCGACGCGUA
rnacentral:rRNA from 1 species